rnacentral:lncRNA from 1 species
GGUUGAAUACUCCAACACUAAAAUUACAAAGUUAUAACACAAACUUUCUGGAGAGAGAAAACCACAUGAAGUUUUAGCGUAAUUUAAAUUGAUAAUUUAUUUAGAUAAAUAAUCAAUUACUGAUAUACAAAACAUACAUUUUAUUGGUACACUAAUUUGAAGGCUAAAGAUAAAUGAUUUUAUAAGAUAAACUACUUUAAUGAUUUAGGCUUUAAUAGGUGCAAAGUUCGCCAGUUUUCUAACAUGUUGUAUUGGAUUAUCCAAUACAAUGGCUGCAUAAUUUUUAGAGGUUGAACCAUCUGAUGCAGAAAGCGUGAUGCGGUAGUUGGUCCCUUGGGAUGUUGUUUCAGAUACACCAACAGUUUUCUAACAUGUUGUAUUGGAUUAUCCAAUACAAUGGCUGCAUAAUUUUUAGAGGUUGAACCAUCUGAUGCAGAAAGCGUGAUGCGGUAGUUGGUCCCUUGGGAUGUUGUUUCAGAUACACCAUUUACGACCUUCUCGAAUUUCAGCUUAUUACCUUGCUUGUUGUACUCGUUUACAGCAAAGUUGCCAAUCUCAUUAACUAAUGGAUCAUUGGGGUUGAGGAAGGUAGCAUGAUUCAAGGACGCACAGGAAACAAUAACAACAAGGACAAUCAGAAAAAAACACUGAGUUCUCAUUGUGAUUGUAACUAUGAUUUUUUGAAGUUUUUCAAAUUGGCUGGUAGUGAGUUAGUCUGAUCAAGUAAAGUUGUUAUAUAUACUAUACUCUAAUGAUAAAAACAUUGAAUUUCAUUUUUAUAAGAACUUAAAACAAUAUCGUUGUAAAGUAUAGCAUAUUGAUAUUUAAAAAAACAAUAAAAGAUGUUUAGUCAAACAUCUCAUUAUCUAUUUUAUUAUUUAAAGUAAUUAAAUUAUAUAUAUAUAUAUAUAUUUAAAUAAUAUAUUUAGAAAAUAGAUAAAGAAAUUAUUUAAUAAUAAAAGUUACAUCGGAGACAUAAAAUCAUUUUANGUCCUUCUUGUUAUUUUUUCCUGUGCGUCCUUGAAUCAUGCUACCUUCCUCAACCCAAUGAUCCAUUAGUUAAUGAGUUGCAACUUUGCUGUAAACGAGUACAACAAGCAAGGUAAUAAGCUGAAAUUCGAGAAGGUCUAAAUGGUGUUCUGAAACAACAUCCCAAGGGACCAACUACCGCAUCACGCUUUCUGCAUCAGAUGGUUCAACUCUAAAAAUUAUGCAGCCAUUGUAUUGGAUAAUCCAAUACAACAUGUUAGAAAACUGAUGAACUUUGCACCUAUUAAAGCCUAAAUCAUUAAAGUAGUUUAUUUUAUAAAAUCAUUUAUCUUUAGCCUUCAAAUUAGUGUACCAAUAAAAUGUAUGUUUUGUAAUCAGUAAUUGAUUAUUGAUCUAAAUAAUUAUCAAUUUAAAUUACGCAAAACUUCAUGUGGUUUUCUCUCUCCAGAAAGUUUGUGUAUAACUUUGUAAUUUUAGUGUUGGAGUAUUCAACGCAGGAAAAAUUAUAAUAUUUAUAAAAUAAUAUCAAAUUCAUUGGAUAAAUUUAGAGAAAAACAAUCCUACUCAAUUAUAGAAUUUAGUUUGUUAAAUAUUUUUUUGACAAAUCAAGAGUUUAUGUGUGUGAAUCAAUCAAAGAGAAUUCAUAGCCUCAUAUUUCUUACUGAAACAAUUUGUUUUAAUUGAAAACCUACUAUAAGUCAUGUGUAGGGUUAUCGAUGGGUUUUAAUGUAAUAAGUAUUUAAUAAAAAUUUCUUGUUCAGUUUUUUUAGAGUUUUUGAAAGUUACUAUAAUCAUUACAAAAGAUUAAUAAUAUUAUUGUAAAAACAAGAAUAUACAAAUGAAUAAAUAAUAAACAUUUGUAACUUAAUUUUUUAUUUAUAAAUCUCCUUUUAUAUAUUUUUCUUCUUGAAGAUUUUGAAUGUCUGCAGAGUAGAGUCUUAUUUUAUAAAAUCAAGGAUUAACAUCAAAAUCGAUGUUCAAAAACUGUAAAAUAAUCAAUACUCUUAACUCUUAAUAAUAACUCUUCAUUCCCAAUGUUUUUUUAAAAUUAUUAUAAUCGGUUUGUAAAUCUUUAAAUUAGUUUAUUCAUUUAAAGGUUAUCUUUCUUGAUAACAAUAAGAGCGGUUCCUUGAACAUAAAUAAUUAGUACAUAAAACAAUUAUAUGAAAUUUUUUAAUAUCAAUUGAAAGCAACCAAACCCCCUAUACAUAUAAACCUUAUUAUAUUAUCCAUUAUAAUUAUAUGUUUUGUUGUUUAAAUUUAAUGAAAACUCUCGUUGUUAUAACAUUGAGGAAAACAAUAUAAAAUCUCAUCAAAGAAGUUUGUAAAAUUAUUAUCAUAUAGUGCCAUGUUAUUAGUAGUAUUCUUUCUUUUAUACACCAAACUUUACAAAUUUGAUAUAUGUAUUCAUCAUGUUUAAAUAGAAAUAAAUAAAUAUAAUUAAUUAAACUCAAUUAUUUUUAAAAUUUUAAUUUUAGCUUCAUUCCUUUAUAUAAAAGACAAUUCAAUUCUUAGGUUCAUUGAAUAAUCAAUGUAUUUGGUCGGUUUAUAGAUUAGAUACAUGAUUAUUCUGAAUUUAAAAAAUGAUUUAUCUCUUAAAUAAAAGAAAAGUAGUAAAACUUUAUUAUUUACACAGAUUAAAAAUUAAGUUAUACAUUUAAUUUUAAAAAUGGCAUUAAUGUGUCACUUAGAAUUGUAUUUAAGGGAUUCAUGUCAUUCUUAAUAUACAAUGUCACCUCAAGUAUGUGUGUAUUAUUUUUUGAAUAUAAAAAAGUGACAGGAAAUUUGACUAAAUUAUAUUUAAAUAGUGUUUUUGGAUUAGAAAUAAUUUAUUUUACUUUAUUAUACUAAUUAACCUAUAAAUAAGAAUUACAUUUUACAAGACUUAUUGAGUAAUUGACAACUUACCAACUAAAAAAUCUCCAGAACAUAGUUUAUAAAUUUGAAAACUUAAAAUUAUUUUUAAAAAAAACAUUUUUUUUAUUAUUAUAAUUUUAAAAUACCAAAUUUGGUUGAUUGUGAGUUUGUAUAAAUUUUAAAAUUUAUUGAUGUAUUCAAAUUUAAAAAAAACUCAAAGGUAGCUAAUUUUAAACUAUUAUAUUUUUUAUUAAUAAACUAUUGUAAUUCUCAUUUAGAAAAAUUAUUACAUUUUAAAUUAAAUUAUACUCUUAGUUAAAAAAAAAAUAUAAAUGAUAUUUUUAAUUUAAUUAAGGAAGAAAAUUCAAUUAUACGUAAUAUUAGUUAAUUAAAUAUAUUAAUUAUAAAAAUAAAAAAAACUUUGAUUUUUUUUAAGUUGACACGGUACUAGUACAAUAAGAUUAACUUAUUAAAUUAGGGACGAUACAAAUUUCAUAUGGACAAAUUGUAAAAUUGAUAACUAUUAAGUUAUUAUAAUAAUAUUAUCUCAAAUUUCUAAAUUAUAUAUUUCUUUCUUAUGCUAUUUCUAUAUUUAUUAUUUUAUAUAAAGUUACUUAUUUUCUUUUAUAAACACAUAUAGAAAGGAUUAAUAAAAAUAUUGCAUUGAAUGUUGAAACAGUGGGUCAAAAAAUCCAAACAAUAUAAGAAAAAACCUUUAUAUAUAUAUAUAUUAUAUAUAAUAUAUAUAUAUAUAUAUAUAUAUAUAUAUAUAUAUAUAUAUAUUAUUUAUAAUAUAUAAUAAUAAUAUAUAUUUAUAAUAUAUAUAGAUAUAAAUAUUAAUAUAUAUACAUAUAUAUAUAUAUAUUAUAUAUAUAUAUAAUAUUAUAUUUAAAUAUAUAUUAUAUAGAUAUAUAUAUAUAUAUAAAUAUAUAUAUAUCUAUAUAUAUUUAUACUAUAUAUAAUAUCUAAUAUAUUAUACUAUAUAUUAUAUAUAUAAUAUUUAUUUAAUAUAAUAAUAAAUAAAAAAAUAAUAUAUAUUUAUAUGUUUAUAUAGUUUUUAAUAUUAAAAAGAAAUUAAUUAUAUAUAGAAUUAAUUAAUAGAUAACAACCUUACUUGAUCAGACUAACUCACUACCAGCCAAUUUGAAAAACUUAAAAAGUCAUAGUUACAAUCACAAUGAGAACUCAGUCUUUUUUUCUGAUUGUCCUUUUGUUAUUUUUCCUGUGCGUCUUGAAUCAUGCUACCUUCCCAACCCAAUGAUCCAUUAGUUAAUGAGUUGGCAACUUGCUGUAAACGAGUAACAAGCAACAGGUAAUAAGCUGAAAUUCGAGAAGGUCGUAUGGUGUAUCUGAAACAACAUCCCAAGGGACAACCACCGCAUCACCUUUCUGCAUCAGAUGGUUCAACCUCUAAAAAUUAUGCAGCCAUUGUAUUGGAUAAUCCAAUACAACAUUUAGAAAACUGAUGAACUUUCACCUAUUAAAGCCUAAAUCAUUAAAGUAGUUUAUUUUAUAAAAUCAUUUAUCUUUAGCCUUCAUUAGUGUACCAAUAAAAUGUAUGUUUUGUAUAUCAGUAAUUGAUUAUUGAUCUAAAAAUUAUCAAUUUAAAUACGCUAAAACUUCAUGUGGUUUUCUCUCUCCAGAAAGUUUGUGUUAUAACUUUGUAAUUUUAGUGUUGGAGUAUUCAACCGAGAAAAAUUAUAAUAUUUAUAAAAUAAUAUCAAAUUCAUUGGAUAAUUUAGAGAAAAACAAUCCUACUCAAUUAUAGAAUUUAGUUUGUUAAAUAUUUUUUUGACAAAUCAAGAGUUUAUGUGUGUGGAAUCAAUCAAAGAUAAUUUCAUAGCAUCAUAUUUUCUUACUGAAACAAGUUUGUUUUAAUUGAAAACCUACUAUAAGUCAUGUGUAGGGUUAUCGAUGGGUUUUAAUGUAAUAAGUAUUUAAUAAAAAUUUCUUGUUCAGUUUUUUAGAGUUUUGAAAGUUACUAUAAUCAUUACAAAAGAAAUAAUAAUAUUAUUGUAAAAACAAGAAUAUACAAAAAAUGAAUAAAUAAUAAACAUUUUGUAACUUAAUUUUUUAUUUAUAAAUCUCCUUUUAUAUAUUUUUCUUCUUGAAGAAUUUGAAUGUUGCAGAGUAGAGUCUUAUUUUAUAAAAUCAAGGGAUUAACAUCAAAAUCGAUGUUCAAAAAUGUAAAAUAAUCAAUACUCUUAACUCUUAAUAAUAACUCUUCAUUCCAAUGUUUUUUUAAAAGUUAUAAUCUAUUUGUAAAUCUUUAAAUUAGUUUUAUUCAUUUAAAGUUAUCUUUCUUGAUACAAUAAGAGCGGUUCCUUGAACUAAAAUAAUUAGUACAUAAAACAAUUAUAUGAAAUUUUUUAAUAUCAAUUGAAAGCAACUCAAACCCCUAUACAUAUAAACCUUAUUAUAUUUCCAUUAUAAUUAUAUGUUUUGUUGUUUAAAUUUAAUGAAAACUCUCGUUGUUAUAACAUUGAGGAAAAAUAUAAAAUCUCAUCAAAGAAUGUUGAUAAUUAUAUUUUAUUAUUUUAUAUAAUAUAUCUUUCUUUUAUAAACACAGUAUAGAAAGAAUUAAUUAAAAAUAGUUGCACUUGAAUUGUGAAACAGUGGCGUUCAAAAAAUCCAAAACAAUAUAGAGAAAAAAGACCUUUAUUUUAUAUAUAUGAUAUUUAAUAUAUAUAUAUAUUAUAUAUAUAUAUAUAUAUAUAUAUAUAUAUAUAUAUAUAUAUAAUAUAUAUAUAUUAGAUAUAUAAAAUUUAAAUAUAUAUAUUAGAAAAAUAGAUUAAAUAAAAUUUUUAAUAAUAAAAGUUACAUCGAUGACGACAAAAACAAUCGCAUUUUAAUUCCUCUUUAUGGAGAUUGAUAAUCAUUAAUUAUGGAACAUAAGAAAAAAACAUUACAACGAACUAAACACCUAAUUAUUAUAUAUAUAAAGGUUUUUUUCUCUAUAUUGUUUGGAUUUUUUGACCCACUGUUUCACAAUUCAACUGCAACUAUUUUUAGUUAAUCCUUUCUAUAUGUGUUUAUAAAAGUAAAUAAGUAAUUUUAUAUAAAAUAAUAAAAGAUAGAAAUAGCAUAAGAAGAAAACUAAUAUAUUUUGAAAUUUUGAGAUAAUAUUAUUAAUAAUUACGAUAAUAGUUAUCAAUUUUACAAUUGUUCUAUAUGAAAUUUUGUAUUUGUCCCAAUAAUUUAAUAAGUUAAGUCUUAUUGUACUAGUAACGUGUCAACUUAAAAAAAAUAAUCAAAGUUUUUUUUAUUUUUAUAAUUAAUAUAUUUAAUUAACUAAUAUUACGUAUAAGUUGAAUAUUUCUUCCCUUAAUUUAAAUUAAAAGUAUCAUUUUAUAUUUUUUGUUUAACUAAGAGUAUAAUCUAAUUUAAAAUGUACUAAUAUUUUCUAAGAUAGAAUUACAAUAGUUUAUAAUAAAAAAAUAAUAAUAGUUUAUAAUUAAGCUACCUUUGAGUUUUUUUUUUAAAAUUUGAAUACAUCAAUAAAUUUUAUAAUGAUUAUAACAAACUCAACAAUCAAACCAAAUUUGGUUAUUUUAAAAUAUAUAAUCAUAAAAAAAAAUGUUCUUUUUUAAAAAUAAUUUUAAAGUUUUCAAAAUUUAUAAACUAUGAUUCUGGAGAUUAUUUAGUUGUAUAGUUUGUCAAUUUAACUUGUCAAAGUAAGUCUUGUAAAAAUGUAAUUCUUAUUUACUAGGUUGAAUUAGUAUAAUAAAGUAAAAUUAAAUUAUUUCUGAAUCCAAAAACACUAUUUAAAUAUAAUUUAGUCAAAAUUUCCUGUCACCUUUUUACUAUUCAAAAGAAUAACACACAUACUUGAGGUGACAUUGUAUAUUCAAAGAAUUGACGAUGAAUCCCUUCAAAUACAAUUCUAAAGUGACACAUUAAUGCCAUUUUUCAAAUUAAAUGUAUAACUUAAAUUUUUUUAAUCUGUGUAGUUUAAAAUAAAGUUUUACUACUGCUAUUCAUUUAUUUAAGAGAUAAAUCAUUUUUUAAAUUCAUUGAAUAAUCAAUGUAUCUAAUCUAUAAACCGACCAAAUACAUUGAUUAUUCAAUGAACCUAAGAAUUGAAUUCUCUUUUAUAUAAAGGAAUGAAGCUAAAAUUAAAAUUUUAAAAAUAAUUGAGUUUAAUUAAUUAUAUUUAUUUCUAUUUAAACAUGAUGAAUACAUAUAUCAAAGUUUGUAAAGUUUGGUGUAUAAAAGAAAGAAUACUAGUAAUAACAUGGCACUAUAUGAUAAUAAUUUUACAAACUUCUUUGAUGAGAUUUUAUAUGUUUUCCUCAAUGUUAUAACAACGAGAGUUUUCCAUUAAAUUUAAACAACAAAACAUAUAAUUAUAAUGGAUAAUAUAAUAAGGUUUAUAUGUAUACGGGGGUUUGGGUUGCUUUCAAUUGAUAUUAAAAAAUUUCAUAUAAUUGUUUUAUGUACUAAUUAUUUAUGUUCAAGGAACCGCUCUUAUGUGUAUCAAGAAAAGAUAACCUUUAAAUGAAUAAAAACUAAUUUAAAGAUUUACAAACCGAUUAAAAUAAGUAAAUAACUUUUAAAAAAACAUUGGGAAUGAAGAGUUAUUAUUAAGAGUUAAGCAGUAUUGAUUAUUUUACAGUUUUUGAACAUCGAUUUUGAUGUUAAUCCCUUGAUUUUAUAAAAUAAGACUACUACUCUGCAGACACUUCAAAAUCUUCAAGAAGAAAAAAUAUAUAAAAGGAGAUUUAUAAAUAAAAAAAUUAAGUUACAAAAAUGUUUAUUAUUUAUUCAUUGAAUUGUAUAUUCUUGUUUUUACAAUUAAUAUUAUUAAUUCUUUUGUAAUGAUUAUAAGUAACUUUCAAAAACUCUAAAAAAACUGAACAAGAAAUUUUUAUUAAAUACUUAUUACAUUAAAACCCAUCGAUAACCCCUACACAUGACUAUAGUAGGUUUUCAAUUAAAACAAACAUUGUUUCAGUAAGAAAAUAUGAGUGCUCAUGAAAUUAUCUUUGAUUGAUUCACACACAAUAAACUCUUGAUUUGUCAAAAAAAUAUUUAACAAACUAAAUUCUAUAAUUGAGUAGGAUUGUUUUUCUCUAAAUUUAUCCAAUGAAUUUGAUAUUAUUUUAUAAAUAUUAUAANUUUAAUCUGUGUAGUUUAAAAUAAAGUUUUACUACUACUAUUCUUUUAUUUAAGAGAUAAAUCAUUUUUUAAAUUCAUUGAAUAAUCAAUGUAUCUAAUCUAUAAACCGACCAAAUACAUUGAUUAUUCAAUGAACCUAAGAAUUGAAUUGUCUUUUAUAUAAAGGAAUGAAGCUAAAAUUAAAAUUUUAAAAAUAAUUGAGUUUAAUUAAUUAUAUUUAUUUCUAUUUAAACAUGAUGAAUACAUAUAUCAAAGUUUGUAAAGUUUGGUGUAUAAAAGAAAGAAUACUAGUAAUAACAUGGCACUAUAUGAUAAUAAUUUUACAAACUUCUUUGAUGAGAUUUUAUAUGUUUUCCUCAAUGUUAUAACAACGAGAGUUUUCCAUUAAAUUUAAACAACAAAACAUAUAAUUAUAAUGGAUAAUAUAAUAAGGUUUAUAUGUAUACGGGGGUUUGAGUUGCUUUCAAUUGAUAUUAAAAAAUUUCAUAUAAUUGUUUUAUGUACUAAUUAUUUAUGUUCAAGGAACCGCUCUUAUGUGUAUCAAGAAAAGAUAACCUUUAAAUGAAUAAAAACUAAUUUAAAGAUUUACAAACCGAUUAAAAUAAGUAAAUAACUUUUAAAAAAACAUUGGGAAUGAAGAGUUAUUAUUAAGAGUUAAGCAGUAUUGAUUAUUUUACAGUUUUUGAACAUCGAUUUUGAUGUUAAUCCCUUGAUUUUAUAAAAUAAGACUACUACUCUGCAGACACUUCAAAAUCUUCAAGAAGAAAAAAUAUAUAAAAGGAGAUUUAUAAAUAAAAAAAUUAAGUUACAAAAAUGUUUAUUAUUUAUUCAUUGAAUUGUAUAUUCUUGUUUUUACAAUUAAUAUUAUUAAUUCUUUUGUAAUGAUUAUAAGUAACUUUCAAAAACUCUAAAAAAACUGAACAAGAAAUUUUUAUUAAAUACUUAUUACAUUAAAACCCAUCGAUAACCCCUACACAUGACUAUAGUAGGUUUUCAAUUAAAACAAACAUUGUUUCAGUAAGAAAAUAUGAGUGCUCAUGAAAUUAUCUUUGAUUGAUUCACACACAAUAAACUCUUGAUUUGUCAAAAAAAUAUUUAACAAACUAAAUUCUAUAAUUGAGUAGGAUUGUUUUUCUCUAAAUUUAUCCAAUGAAUUUGAUAGUAUUUUAUAAAUAUUAUAAUUUUUCUCGGUUGAAUACUCCAACACUAAAAUUACAAAGUUAUAACACAAACUUUCUAGAGAGAGAAAACCACAUGAAGUUUUAGCGUAAUUUAAAUUGAUAAUUUAUUUAAAUCAAUAAUCAAUUACUGAUAUACAAAACAUACAUUUUAUUGGUACACUAAUUUGAAGGCUAAAGAUAAAUGAUUUUAUAAGAUAAACUACUUUAAUGAUUUAGGCUUUAAUAGGUGCAAAGUGCAUCAGUUUUCUAACAUGUUGUAUUGGAUUAUCCAAUACAAUGGCUGCAUAAUUUUUAGAGGUUGAACCAUCUGAUGCAGAAAGCGUGAUGCGGUAGUUGGUCCCUUGGGAUGUUAUUUCAGAUACACCAUUUACGAUGUCAUAUGGUGAAUUAACUUUGUGUAUUUUUGCUUUGGAAAGCAAAUGUCGCGGAUAGCAAGAGUCGCCACCGACUUUUCUUUUAUCCAAUAAGGAAAGGCGGAAAAGAACAGGAAUCUGGAACUAAUCUAAAACCCAAGCCCAGGUACAUUAUACAAAGGGAAGGUGUUAGCACCCUUUGUAUCCAUGGUUAUCCAUGGGCUCUUAAUUGCUUGAUCACUUAUGUUUUUCUUAUCUGAAAAAAGUGUUUGAGAACUGUUUAGAAAGUGUUUUGAAAAGAGAGUUUAACUUUGUAAUGAUUCUUGUACGAAUGUAUACAAAGUAUUUAUCUCGUUUAAUUUUGAAAGUUGUUUGGAAAAAUAUAACUGGGCAAUGAUUCUAGUACGAAUGUAUACCAAGUGGUGAUUUUCUAAUAGAUGUUUUGCAAAGUGUGAGGUGUGAAAAGUAUUUUAAGUUGUGAGUCAGCAAUUAAGAGUUACACCUACCCAAGGCCUUUCUGGGUAUUUCCUAUCCUUAGGAGGGUAAAACUGUCCUUACUAUUGAGAAGUAAGUAGUCUUAUCCUUUGGAUGUAAAGGGACAUCGUAGGGUCGUCGAUUGGUCAUCGAAGGUAACAUUUGUAAGGAUACCUUAGCAUUCGAAGGGACGAUCAUCAUUUAACCGUAGGCUACACCGAAGGGUCAUCGAGGGACAAAAUCGUAUUUUCGAAGGCAACAUCCGAGGGACCAUGAUUUAUUUUAUGAUGAUUUAANGGUCUUUGCUAAGGUAUCCCCACAUUCGCGGGACAUGACCGUAAUACCGUAAGGCAAACAAAGAGAGGGCCAAGAUCAUAUAUUCAAAGGCAACAUUUGCAAUCAGUUAGGUAAUUAGGAUGAAUCUCCACAAGGGUAUCCCACAAAUAAAGUGGAAUACCUAGCAAGCUACCUUCUUCGGGAGUAUAUGAGCCCUCACAAAAUUCAGCAAACAGGUCAGAAUACCAAAUGGGGUGCGGUUAAUAGUUGCACCGAACAAAGGAAUCGCAGUAGUAAUAAUGUCAGGCAAAUAAUACACAGCUAUGAUAAAACAUGUCAGAUAAGCACAGAACGGAAUAGAAAAAAAACAGCGACUGUCAUGUUCGCUACUGCCUCGCCUAGCGAAGGCUUAGGGAACACUCGCUACAUGUUCGCUUAGCGAUGUGCUAGCGAACGGCUGCGGGUUUUGAGUUUAAUAACAGUACGAUUUCAACAAUCUCCAAACCCUAUGGCAUCCAUUACAAAAAUUACAUGGUUAAACAUUCAAGACAUCCUUGCAUGCAAAACUUAAGGUAUAUUUAUAAAUUCAAUCAUAAUGUCACAUGUAAAUUGGAAGCAUAAAGCGGUAGUGGUAGUGCAAACCUGUUUGCAAUUGAAUUGCCACGUUGAAUUGGUAGAUCACUCUUAGGGUUGGUAUCGGAUUGAGUUGGGCGGAGGUGACCUUUGUGCAGAUGAGUUUCCUUCAGGGUUUCCUUUAGGGUUGCUCUGAAUUCUCUUGGUUAGCCUCCAGGGUUUGCUCCGAUUGCCUUUGUUAGGGUUUGCUUGCUAGGGUUUUUUUCUCUCUCCGUCCCCUUUUUCUAAAUGAGGUCUUGGUAUUUAUAAUAGUUUUUGUGACCUAAUGGGCUCAGAAUGAAGCCCAAAAUUUCUGUUAUUCGCAAGCUUCGCUAGGCGAGUGGUACAGCGAAGGUUCGCUAGGCGAAUGAUUUUGCUCGCCUAGCGAGCAAGCCAUUUUAAGUCAUUUUCUGGAUUUGGCCACCUGUGUGCUGGGUCUUUGUUACUUUAAGACCAAUGUCUUGAAAAAUGAGUUGGAGUGCCUUGAGAAAUGUCUUGCAAGGUUAACGGGCAAAUUUUGGGGUAUGACAUAUGACCUUCUCGAAUUUCAGCUUAUUACCUUGCUUGUUGUACUCGUUUACAGCAAAGUUGCCAAUCUCAUUAACUAAUGGAUCAUUGGGGUUGAGGAAGGUAGCAUGAUUCAAGGACGCACAGGAAAAAAUAACAAGAAGGACAAUCAGAAAAAAAGACUGAGUUCUCAUUGUGAUUGUAACUAUGACUUUUUGAAGUUUUUCAAAUUGGCUGGUAGUGAGUUAGUCUGAUCAAGUAAGGUUGUUAUAUAUACUAUACUCUAAUGAUAAAAACAUUGAAUUUCCUUUUUAUAAGAACUUAAAACAACAUUGUUAAAAAG